CCAAGGCGGCGACCGGAGCGCGAUGGCGGGGGCGGCGGGGCUCACGGCAGAAGUGAGCUGGAAGGUCUUGGAGCGAAGAGCUCGGACCAAGCGCUCAGGGACCUGAGUACUGCCCCCAACAUAUAUUUUUGCAACAUUUCUCUUUAACUUUCAUAAGCUCAUAGAGUUUAUUUUCUUCGUCAGUCUUUGUUUCCUCUGAAAUGCAUGUCAUAACAGUAAGCUUUGAAAAUCUUACUUCUCUUUUCUUAGCUGAGAAAAAAAAUUCUAGUGUUAACUGUUGUUGAGUGCAGUUAUUUAAAUCCACUUUUAUGUGCAAAGUGCAUGGUAUCAAUGUUGAAUGUUCCUGUAUGUGUAUUACAUCAUAGUAGUAAAAAGAGAUACCACUUGAAGUCAUUCCUCCAAAUUAAUAGUUAAAUUUGAGGUUUCAGAUUCUUAUAAGUAUAUGAAGUACAGAGGAUAAAGCUAAUAACUCGAGUUAAUAACUUCCUGUGUCAUUAAAAGCAAUCAACUUGAUUCUGUUUGUUACUU
rnacentral:sRNA from 1 species